GAGUUUGAUCAUGGCUCAGGAUGAACGCUGGCGGCGUGCCUAACACAUGCAAGUCGAGCGAUUUACUUCGGUAAAGAGCGGCGGACGGGUGAGUAACGCGUGGGUAACCUGCCUCAUACACAUGGAUAACAUACCGAAAGGUAUGCUAAUACAGGAUAAUAUAAGAGAUUCACAUGGAUUUCUUAUCAAAGCUCCGGCGGUAUGAGAUGGACCCGCGUCUGAUUAGCUAGUUGGUAAGGUAAUGGCUUACCAAGGCGACGAUCAGUAGCCGACCUGAGAGGGUGAUCGGCCACAUUGGAACUGAGACACGGUCCAAACUCCUACGGGAGGCAGCAGUGGGGAAUAUUGCACAAUGGGCGAAGCCUGAUGCAGCAACGCCGCGUGAGUGAUGAAGGCCUUCGGGUCGUAAAACUCUGUCCUCAAGGAAGAUAAUGACGGUACUUGAGGAGGAAGCCCCGGCUAACUACGUGCCAGCAGCCGCGGUAAUAC
rnacentral:rRNA from 1 species